CCCCGGCUGACACAUUUGAUGGAACAAACCAGUUUUCUUGAUCUGAAUAAUAAUACUUAAAACAGUUUGCUACACUCUCUCAACUUCUUGAAUUCCUUUUAAGGAAAUCCAAAGAGAGAGUUUUGUAUGCUUUAAAAUUAAAAGGUUAAAAAAAAACAGAUGAUAGAAGGAAGGUUGAUUAAGACAUGAGAACCAGAGUCUCAGGGAGAUGGUGAUGAUCACUGUCUUCCUCCUUUCUUUGCACAGCAAGGAGGGCAUUUAUACUGCUUGAUGCUGUCUGCUUUGGCGGGAGUGAUCUUCACGCAUUUUCCAUGGUACCAACGCUCACAAACAUCACAGCCAAUCCAGAACUCAUCUUGUGUGUAAUUGCCUCCACAGCUUCCACAGAGAGUGUCUCCAUGCUCGUCUUCUUCCUCUUCAUCCUCCUCCUCUUCGUACCUCUCUUCCAUCAGUUUGGGUGUUGUGCUCUUUGGCUGCCCUUCUAUUGAUCUCUGCAACAAACCCAUUUUUUUUUGUUUUUAAAGGAUAGAAACCAAAAAAUCUACAAAUCAGAAAAAGAAGAUCACUUAUUCAACGUACCUUAGUGCCACCGUUUCUGGAUUUGCUUCCGGAGUCUGAGCUUGGUUUAUUGUCUUUGAUUGGUUUCCUACCAGUCACUACAUCAAAGAGAGUUGGGAGAUCGUUGAUCAGACUGAAUAGCCGCUUCCUGCAAAUUCAAACUAUAAGUUUAUGGACAUGGACAUAGAGAUAAAGAGAUCUACAAUCUUCAUAAUCAGUACACCAAUGGUGAAUCUGUGUGAUGUUUAUCCAACAUUAUAAGUUUCUAACUAUCUAAGUUAACAUUCUUCAUCCAAUCCUCCUUUAUAUCCUCCCAUGUCCUUCGAUGAGUAUAGACUCUUCAUUCGAACUCAAGGUCCUCGUGGCAAAUCCUACGUGGAGUCUCAUAUAUCUCCUCUCGAUAAUUGAUAUCUACUUCAAAUAUGUCUGACAAAAGAGAACGAAACGUAAGUUUCCUUGCUUAUGCAACUCAACUACUAAUGCCUACAUAUUAGUCUCAUAUUAAUCUUUUUGAGCAAUGUGCAUAUUAUAUGAAUAGGCUAUUUGGUGAGGAAAUCGAAGUAAUGGGAUAUCAUAUAUAUCGAAAAGAUACCAGAAGAUUCUACUGAUCAACGAACACAUAUACUGGAUAUCAAGAAGAAUCAAUAUACCGAAAAUAAUCUAUCAUAGUUUAUUGUUCAUGCAAUUUAUAUAUUUUAUCGUCCUAUAUAUAUAUUUACGAUUUUAAAUUGUAUUAUAAUAUAAACUCAACAUAAUGGAGGUUUCUUUUUAUAUCGUUUAUCAUUGUCCUAAAGUUGAUAUCUUCUAUCUUUCCAACAACAAUUACCUAAUCCACAUGCAGUGCUGAGGGUUAUAUUUGAUAGGCCACAAAUUACUUAUCCAAAUUGACAAAUGUAUUGUUAAAUUCGAAAGACUUGACCGAGAGUAUAAAAUUAGAUAACUAAUAUAAUUGUUAAACCUCACUAUCACUGUAUCACAUGAUGUUAGGCUGAUUCCGUGAUUGUUGAAGCAUUCUAAUCGGUAAUCAUGUUUUCUCUACUAUUAGUAACACCAAUAAUGGAGCUAAUUGAAAAUAGUUUUUCAUGUAUUGAUUAAGCAACUAAUCUACCAGACAAUAUGUUUCAUUAAAAAUUAGCAUUACAUACCAAAUGAUGGACAUGUGAAACGCAAUAAAUAUCUAGUAUCUGGUACAUAGAUUAUUUUUUGUAUGUGUAUGUAACGGAUAAUUCGUGUUGACCAUUUUGUAAAAUCUUGUUAGAUCCGGUUUAAGUUCUUUAUAAUAUAACUAAAGGGUAUAAGAAGAAGACUGGACGACAAACUAAUAGCAGGGUUGAUCAGAUUGAUGAUUUUCACCGGAUUUAGAAUCCAAUCAUAGUUUUUACUAUUAAUCAAUGAUUUAAAAAUUUUGUUAACAUUUUGUACUCGAACUAAAUUUUUACUCAAACAAAAUUUUAGUGUAAUGGUUGAAAGAUGUUAUUCAUAUAACAAUGUGAAUACGACUUGCUUUGGUCAACUUGUAAACAACAUAUUUGAUUUUAAGAGAUAAGAUUCGAAACUUGGUAACAUGUUACUGUUGCGGUAAAGAUUAAUCGAAUGAAUGAUCUAAACAUAGUGCAGCUUUGUGAUUGGUAACAUGUUACUGUUGCGGUAAAGGGUGUUUCGAGAGUAUGGUUAGCAAUCACAAAGUAGGCUGUAAUCUCUUACCAUUCUUUCUUAGAUUCUCUUUAACUAUUAUUAUAUAUAUGCUGUUGCUAUUUCAAACACGUACCAAAAAAAACUGCAAAACCACUCUGACAUAUAGAUACAUCCCUAUUUCACCAGUUUUUGUGUGUGUGUGUGUUUUAACAUAUGUGAACUAGAUAAGGUAAAACCAUUUAGAAUGAGCAGAUUGUACCCAUUGGGCAAAUCUGGGCCCGGUAAAAUUGAUGGUCACUAUUUUUUUUUUUUUUUGAAACAGAUGGUCACUAUCUAUACUUCCGACUGUACAAACCUAAUAUGUUUAGUCAUCUCAUUGACCUGCAAUGGCUCUCUACAAUCAAAAUCUGCUUUGGCAUCUCACAUAACUUCAGAAGAUAAUCUCCUUAAAAAUUAUGAAAACAAAAAUCUUAACAUAGAUGGAAGAGCUAUCAGACAAAAAGAAAGAUUAAACAUAGAGUGCAAAAUGCAGUUCAAUGCUUAAGAUUCAACUACAUAUACAAAUCCCCGGCUGACACAUUUGAUGGAACAAACCAGUUUUCUUGAUCUGAAUAAUAAUACUUAAAACAGUUUGCUACACUCUCUCAACUUCUUGAAUUCCUUUUAAGGAAAUCCAAAGAGAGAGUUUUGUAUGCUUUAAAAUUAAAAGGUUAAAAAAAAACAGAUGAUAGAAGGAAGGUUGAUUAAGACAUGAGAACCAGAGUCUCAGGGAGAUGGUGAUGAUCACUGUCUUCCUCCUUUCUUUGCACAGCAAGGAGGGCAUUUAUACUGCUUGAUGCUGUCUGCUUUGGCGGGAGUGAUCUUCACGCAUUUUCCAUGGUACC
rnacentral:lncRNA from 1 species